CAAAUGGAGUUGACAACCCUUGCUACGUGAAUUCAUGGAACUCCUUGGCUGUCCCCUGACUCUCUCCACUUUCAAGGAGUUCCUCUUCACUAAUUCAAAAGGUGUUGGGGUCUACACCAGAGGACGAGUCAGGUCUGUCUCUGCCUGAGGUAAGUUCUAAGAACCAAAAGCAAAGCAAGGUGACAGGGCAUACCAGGAGUGUGGCUUGGAGGUCCAGGUGGGGGUAAGGGUAAGAUUUGAGCGGAUGUCUUUCCUUCAAACAUGAAACCUGGCGUGAUGUGGGGAGAGCUUUUUGAAAGCCAAGGGAAGAUCGAGGACAGGAAAGGGAGUUUGUUUGUGUUUAAUGACUGGAGAGGUGGCAGGAACGCAUCAGGCAAAAGGAGGGAAACAGUCAGAUCCUUAACAUACCUUACAGCUGCUACUCGCCGAAUGGAGACAGGAGCAAAAGUGACUUCAAUUGUUUUGGCCAGAGCAACCAGAGGAGUGAAAUUACUGUUGGCAGAGAAGGGGAAGACAGCCAGAGUAAGUCACUUGCAGUGAGUGACACACCUUGAACCUGUCAUGUUUCAGAUGUCUUUUGAUGGCUGUGUAGUAGGGCCGGCUUGCCCAGUAGGUAAACAAUUGGAUGCAUAAUUCGGGAACUUAGAAAGCAUCCUAUAUUCCAGAUAGAAAAUGUUAGAAUUGUUAGCGUUACGAGUGAUAUUGACAGCCACAUGCUCAGAUGAGGUCAUCAAGGGGAAAAGAACAGGCCAAGAAAGACAAACUUCAUGAUACCCCAAUGGUUAGGCAUGGAAUUAUUAAAAAGGAAACAAUCAGACAGGUGUGGUGGUAUAUGCUUAUCACCCUAGCAUUUGGGACUCCGAGGCAGGAGGUUUGCCAGGAGUUGGAGGUCAGAGUGGCCUAAUGUUAUAUGCUGAGUGCCAGACCAGCCUGGGAUAUAGAAAAAAAACACUGAGACGUCGGUAGCUAAGAAGGACAAUGGGAACGCCCCUGGGAACCUGAAGAGAAGCAAGA
rnacentral:lncRNA from 1 species